GCGCGAAACCUCCACAAUGCACGAAAGUGUGAUGGGGGAAUCCUCCGUGCUCAUGUCUAACAUGGGCUUUUGCCAAGACUAGAUAUCUUGGCGAAUAAGGGGUGGGCAAGACCGGUGCCAGCCGCCGCGGUAACACCGGCGCCCCGAGUGGCCAUCGCGAUUAUUGGGCCUAAAGCGUCCGUAGCCGGACAGGUAAAUCCUCUGUGAAAUCGUCACGCUUCACGUGACGGCGCGCAGGGGACACUGCCUGUCUCGAGACCGGGAGGGGUCAGAGGUAUGCCGUGGGGACUGGUAAAAUGGGAUAAUCCACGGUAGACCACCAAUGGCGAAGGCAUCUGACCAGAACGGAUCUGACGGUGAGGGACGAAAGCCAGGGGAGCGAACCGG
rnacentral:rRNA from 1 species